CUUCUCAUCUUGAGAAUUCAAUCGGUGAUGUUUCGUGGCUUCUCCGUGUUUCAGCUCCGGCUGAAGAAGGUAGUUAUGAAUGUCUUGGUCUUCCACCUAUUGCUUCUAAUGAACCGAUUUUAGGUUUAAUUUGGGAACAAAUUGCGAUUCUUCAUAAUGGAUCUUUUGAUGAUCGAUCUGAUGCUGCUGCUUCUUUGGUUUCUCUUGUUCGCGAUAAUGAUCGGAAUGGGAAAUUGAUUAUUGAAGAAGGUGGUGUUGGUCCUUUGUUGAAACUUUUGAAAGAAGGUAAAAAAGAAGGUCAAGAAAAUGCUGCUAAAGCUAUUGGACUUUUAGGUCGUGAUGCUGAAAGUGUUGAGGUUAUGAUUCAUGCUGGUGUUUGUUCUGUUUUUGCAAAGAUUCUUAAAGAAGGUCCUAUGAAAGUUCAAGCUGUUGUAGCUUGGGCUGUUUCUGAACUUGUUUCUAAGUAUCCCAAGUGUCAAGAUGUUUUUGCUCAGCAUAAUAUUGUUAGGUUACUUGUUAGUCAUAUUGCAUUUGAAACUGUUCAGGAACAUAGUAAAUAUGCCAUUGUUAGUAAUAAGCCGAAUUCCAUUCAUGCUGUUGUGAUGGCUAGUAGUAAUGGUGCUGCUGCUGUUGGUGAUAAUGGUGAUAUGACGGGUUCGAAUGAUGUGAAAAAAGAGACUGAAGAUGAGGUGAAAAUUCGGAUGAAUCAUCCUUUAGGUGAUAGGUCUACGAAUCAGAUGCAUAAAGUGGUGACUAGUACUAUGGCAAAGCAUGCUGCAAGUGCAAACAGCAACAAGAAUCAGAAAACUGAUGAAAGUGGUGAAGCGGGUCUAAACUCUCAUUCUCAGGUGGCUGGUCAAUCAAAUGGGAAUGGGAACGGGAAUGGUAACACGAAGCAAAGCUAUUCGUAUUCUGGAAUUAACAUGAAGGGAAGGGAACUUGAGGAUGAUGCGAGUAAGGCUCACAUGAAGGCAAUGGCAGCAAAGGCUCUUCGGUAUUUAGCAAAGGGUAACUCAGGGAUUUGUCGUAGCAUAACAGAAUCAAGGGCUUUGUUGUGCUUUGCGAUUCUACUUGAGAAAGGACCUGAAGAAGUGAAGUAUAAUUCUGCUUUGGCGUUGAAAGAGAUUACUGCAGUGGCCGAGGAAGAUCCUGAAUUGAGACGAUCGGCGUUCAAACCAAACACUCCAGCUUGUAAAGCGGUUGUUGAUCAAGUGAUUGAUAUUAUCGACAAAGAAGAUAAGAGACUCCUGAUUCCUUGUAUCAAGGUUAUUGGGAGUUUGGCAAGGACGUUCAGGGCAACUGAGACAAGGAUUAUUGGUCCGUUGGUUCGACUUCUCGACGAAAGAGAGGCUGAAGUAUCAAAAGAGGCUGCAGACUCACUUGCAAAAUUCGCCUGCAAUGAUAACUACCUCCACCUUGAUCACUCUAAGGCAAUUAUAAGCUUUGGUGGUGCAAAACACUUGGUUCAGCUUGUGUAUCUUGGGGAGCAACCAGCAGUUCAACAUUCUGCCUUGGUUCUGCUAUCCUAUAUUGCAUUGCAUGUGCCAGACAGCGAAGAACUUGCUCGAGCCGAGAUUCUUGGAGUUCUUGAAUGGGCGUCCAAGCAACCUAACAUGACUCAGCAUGAAACCAUUGAGGCAUUGUUGCAAGAAUCCAAGAGUAGGCUUGAGCUUUACCAGUCUAGAGGUUCAAGAGGGUUCCAAAAACUACAUCAAUAAGAAAAGUAAUUAAUUAUUAUUGUUGUUGCUGUGUGAGGUUUUUGAAUGAUUUGUAUCUUAUCUAUUUUUCUCGCGAAGAGUGUAUAUACAAUCCAUUGCCUUCUUCAUUUGUUCAGGUUCAUUUUCAACUAUGAAGAAGAGAUUAUUUGUUCUUCUAGGUUUUAAAUUUCUUCCACUACAACCGACCCUUUUGCUGAAUUUAGUACCUACCUCCAUAUUCCGAUAGGAAACACUAAUAUUUUGUCAUUGUGUCUUUGUAAACAACCUCCCAUUUGCUCUAUGCUUACAGUUCAUCUUUUAGCAAUGGAAGCCAAUAAUGUUGCACUGCAGGAAUUAAUAAAGAACCGUAGACACAGAUGCAAGAUUUCAGCAAAAUAUGGCAGAUCAAAAAAUGCAGUUGGAAAAUGGUACUAGUAUGAGUCAAUCAGGGUCAAAGACUGCUUGAUUACUCUGUAAGUUAGUCAUCUGUCUUAAGGGUUUAAAUGUAACUAUAUUGACAUUUGUUUAUUUUCUACUGCUUGUAAAAUAAUAUUGCAUUAGAUGUAUGUUUGUUAGAUUAGAUUUUCACAAUGAAGAAACUAUUUGGUCUAUUUGACUUAGUAUUAUAUGGUACACCAAAUUUGCAUUAUUUGUUCUAUAGUUAGGAAUAAUGCUAUCUUAUACAAAAAAGGUUUUAGGAUUUAGGAGUAUAUAACAUAACAUAAUAUAUACAAAAAAAAAAAGAAAAAAAAANNNNNNNNNNNNNNNNNNNNNNNNNNNNNNACCGUAGAUGUUACAAUCAAUGUUAAGAAGCUCACCACUAAUAAGAGAUAUAGGAUCAAGGCUAUGAAAGUGACAAGGUAUCUUUAAAGGAAAGAAAAACCGUCAAGAUAAUAAAGGGAAACAAUUCUAACAGACAAUUCAAGUACUGCUGUCUUCAUUGCAUAAAGGAAAAUAAUGAUUACUCUUAAAAUAGAGUUCUAGAAAUGAGAGCAUAUUAAAAAUACGGUUUUUUGGAGCCAGCUAGAAAAUAUGGUUUUUAUGGUUGAUUAGAAAUGGCAAAUCAGUGGUUGCCUGGGAUCAUUGUUGGGUAGAGGAAGGUAUAAGAAUUAGUGAAGUAAAUAUAGACAUCCCUGCUAAUUUAAGGGCUGCUAUAGUUUCUGAAUUAACAGAUGAGAAUGGUGAUUGGCAAGUUCAGUAGCUUCAAGCUUGGUUACCUUACCAGAGGAGGUGAUGCUUAAGCUUGGAGCAAUUCUUCCGCUGUGAAUUGAUCAAAGAAACAAUUUUGGGGUCUGUGCUGGUGCGUGACAUGGUGAUUAUUCUGUUGCACAUGGUUNNNNNNNNNNNNNNNNNNNNNNNNNNNNNGACAGUGAUGAUCCGAGUUGGUUGAAGGUUUGGAAGAUUAACGCGUCAGAGUACAAAUAGUAGUCGGUUCGAGCAAUAGCAAUGUGGGAAACAUUAGGUGGCGGCCUCCGGAUGUUGGUUGGGUGCGACUUACAUGGAUGGUGCUUCCAAGAGAGGUGGUUUUGCAGGCUGUGGAGGACCGUAGGUGUGUUGCAUGGAGACAACGGGGAAUGGAUAUAUGGUUUUACGAAGGGGUUAGGUGCUUGUAGUGCGUAUGUGGCGGAGCUUUGGAGAGUUUUAGAAGGGCUGAAGAUGCCUAGAGUAUGUGGUGUGCGUAAGUUGGAGAUUCACAUCAAUUCUACGGUGUUUGUUACUUCUAUUAAUGCUAAGAAAUGAGGAACAUCAGCCGGCUUGUUGGUUAAUAUUUAUCAGUUGCCUAGGUUGGAUUUGUUGGUUCAGAUUUGUCAUUCCUACCGCGAAGCCAAUGGUUCUGCGGAUGUGUUGGUUAAUAUGGCUUGUGAUAGUGGUUUCGCUUUGAUUUUGUAUGAGCAUUGUCCUGCUCAUAUUAGUUCUAUUUUUCUUGUUGCCUGCAUUGGUGUCUCGACUCUGCGAGUUGUGAUGCGGUACUUGCUUUCUUUGGGCAUAAUGAUUGAGAAGUUAAAAAGUAAGCACAGUACAUUUCUUUGGGCAUAAUGAUUGAGAAGUUAAAAAGUAACAACAGCAACAAACUCAAAAAUAAAAAUUUCAGAAAUAAAACCAUAAGCAGUAAUAAUGAUUAGUGAUAAUAAGAGUUCUAAUCCAGCUAAACAAAUUCUAGGAUUCACCGCAAGUGCAAUACAACUCAUUCCACACUUCCAAGUUCCAACCGUAUCACCGAGACAAUCAUAUUCACACGUACUGUUCAUAUCAUAAAAGUUAAAGUUGAUUCCUCACAUGCAUCACUUACUUCCAUCUCCGUGCAUUCUCAGUUCUCACAUCAUGUUGAUUGGAAACAUCAUAAAAACCAUGAGAGCAAGUCCCCACCAAACAACAAAAAAAAUAGGGAGACAGUCACACAUCAAAAUCUUGUUCUAAAAGUAGAAAUUUUCACGAUAUUGGAAUCUGAUUCCAACGUGGAUUGAAACAACAUUGGAUUCGAUUUUGACAACAAUAAUACAUGAAUAUCAUCAUCCAACCAACAAAAAUACUUGCAAUCAUAUUUGAUUUCCGACCCCAUCAUCGUACAGUUUAUAAGAAACGAAUUCAAAUUAUGUAAUAGUACUAUUUUAACUUAAAGGAGAACCAGUGAGGUCUGGAUAUCGAAAGGCAAAUAUCAUUAUAUACUAGUUUAUUUAUUUAUUUAUUGUUUUGGUUACAAAGAGGGCUAAACACGGAAGAAAGAAAAAAAUUACAACGCGACUAAGCGCAGAACUAAAAUUCCUAAACCAUCUGCAGUCAACAAAUAAUUUAUCUAAGGAGGACAUGCCUCAAAAAACUGGGAUUCUUCAUGCAUAGACACCGUUCAUUUGUCAAGACAUUUGUACACUGAUUACUCUUUCUAUACGUAUGCUUCGCCACCACCUCCCAAUCAAUAUCUAGCAUCCCCUAAAUCCGACGAAUCAAUGUAUCACUCAUUGCACUACUAUACCCUUCGUUCUUGUCAAAGCCUCCACCACAGCGACCGAGUCAGUAUUAACCUCAACUGCUCUUAACCCCAGCUUUCUCACUAAUUUUAAUCCUUAAAAAAUGCCCCAUAAAAUGUAUUUAAAGUGUUAGUAGUACUAUCGGUAUGCUCAUAUAUUACAAAUCUUACACAUGCAUUCGAUGUUUCUAUAUACUUUAUUAAAUUAGUUUAUGAAAUAUCUGUUGGGUUUAAAGUGUGAGUGGUUAAAGUCCACAUCGACUAUGUAUGAGAUGAAUGUUGGAUUUAUAAUAGAGGUGACUCAUUAACCUAAUGUCUUAAGGUUUUGGGUAGAGAUGUGGUGUCUCCCUCUCUUGUGGUCCUGGAGUAUUGACCCCAUUGUUUCUCUCGAAUUCCUCGGACUCUCCNNNNNNNNNNNNNNNNNNNNNNNNNNNNNNNNNNNNNNNNNNGACCCCAUAAUUUCUCCCGAGCUCCCCCGAACUCCCCCAACAAUAUCUCUAUGAGAUGUGAUUAGAGGCACUUUUUAAUAACUUUAACUAGUAAGAUUUUUUAGACUAAUAUUUUUGUUAUAGAAAUUUGAUUGAAAAAUUAAACAUUUAAAUUUUUGAAUAAAUAAUUUUUUAAAAUUAAAUCUUUAAAAAGUGUCUCAAGACACUUGCUAACAAGACCCUUAAACUUAACUAUUUUCAAAGAAUAGAAAGACAAAUAUACAACAUGUGGUUCAAAAAUUAAAGCAUCAACACCAUGUUUAUGGGUGACAUUGAGUGUGUUGAAUUGUUUGAGAUUUUUUACGUGGGGGCAUGUUUAUGUUUUAACUUUUAAGCUCGACCACUCAAGUUGGGGACAAGGUGAAUUGACUCGGCGAGUCAAUUUUAAAAAAUAAAUAUUUUCUUCAAAAAAUCUUAGGUGAAGUCGAACCUAACACAACAAUCUUAUGUACAUCAUAUGUUGCCUAGGUACGGUACCGGUAUCCGAUACGGGUACUGGUAUGCGGUACAACAUUUUUAGAAAAUUUAAGGUGCGGGUACGUUAAUAUAAAUUAUUAGAAAAAUUAUUUUUAAGUGAAUUAUAAUCAUCAUGCUUUGAAGAUUUAAUUUUUUUUGGUCCACCGUCUCAACUAUUUUUAAGUGAAUUAUAAUCAUCAUGCUUUGAAGAUUGACAAUGGUAACGCGUAAUUUAUUUGUGGGAUAUAGUUUAGGGGAGUCGGACCCUAUUGUGGUGUCGCAUUUGCUGAUGACACUUUGUUAAUGGGGGCGAAGAGCUUGGCUAAUGUACGGGCUCUGCGAGCGUUACUGGUGUUGUUUGAGACUAUGUCAGGUUUAAAGGUCAAAUUUAACAAAAGUAUGCUUGUUGGGGUGAAUAUUCCUGAAUCCUGGUUAGGCGAAGCUGCGUCUGCUUUAUGUUGUAAAGUGGGAAAAAUUCCUUUCCUUUACUUGGGUCUUCCUAUUGGGGGNNNNNNNNNNNNNNNNNAAACCGGUGUUGGAUCGUUUAAAGAAUAGGUUAACUGGGUGGAAGAGUCGCUUUCUUUCUUUUGGUGGUCGUCUGGUUUUGAUUAAGUCUGUCUUGACAUCUCUACCUGUCUAUGCUCUAUCCUUCUUCAAAGCUCCUUUAGGUAUCAUUUCCUCUAUUGAAUCUCU
rnacentral:lncRNA from 1 species